rnacentral:rRNA from 1 species
UACGGGGGGGGCAAGCGUUGUUCGGAAUUACUGGGCGUAAAGGGUUUGUAGGUGGCUGGCUAAGUCAGACGUGAAAUCCCUCAGCUUAACUGGGGAACUGCGUCUGAGACUGGCCAGCUUGAGUGCAGGAGAGGAACGCGGAAUUCCAGGUGUAGAGGUGAAAUUCGUAGAUAUUCGGCGGAACACCAGUGGCGAAGGCGACUCACUGGCCCGAUACUGACGCUGAGGCGCGAAAGCGUGGGGAGCAAACAGG